rnacentral:lncRNA from 1 species
GAAAUAAAGGGACACAUUUGGGAGAUAAGCUCAGCUGACUUGGGAAAACCAUUUCGACUCUCUGAGUGUUAGCUUCCCGGCUAUCAAAUCGCUGGUAAAAAUGUUCAUUCCUCAACCCCCUCUAGUUCUAAGGAAAAAAAAAAAUCAUGGCUUUAUGACUUUUUCAAAUCCCUAGCAGCUAACACUAAAAGAUCCUUUGGUUAAUACUCAGGGACCAAAGUCACCUAGGAAAUCUUAACCAUGAGUCAAAGCUUGGGAGGGUCAGCUGAGGGUAAAUCCAGUGAGUCGUGGCCUUGCACUCCCUUGCCCCAUAAGUGGUCCCUACAGGGCAGGGAUGUUUGGGGGUAUCUAGACUCUCCCUAACCUCAGCCAACUCAUCACUCCUUUCCAGAACUUCUGGUGCUGGUGGCCACCUGGGAUCUACCUCUAAGUUCCUGCUGCCAGACUGGCCCAUGGAACAUUCUCCCUGUGAUGGCUGUCCUGGCUGCCCAACUAGAAGGCUCCAGGCCAAAUCUCCAAAUGAAAUCAGGCCGGGGAGAAAUGAACAACCGAGAUGCACAAAACAAUGUGAAGAAGAAACGAAUAAUAAUAUAAAAAAAAAGGUGAGAGUUAUUUUUCAGCUCACUGGCUUUCUGAAAAGUAAUAUAAAGUUGAGCAGCGUCUUCUUGGAAUCGACCUUUCUGAGCCGAGACCCAGGCCACACGCACGUCUCUUUCCUCUCUUUCUAUUACCCGAAAUUUGUAUGGUUUCAUCUCCUCUGAUUUUCUUUCCCUUUGUGCGCCUGUGCAAACCCCUUGUGUCAGGGGCUUGUUCCUAACCCUGCAGCCCUGCCAUGCCGGAAUGUGUCUCCCGGGCCCCCCGCAGGGCUGAGAAUUGAGAGCCUCCUCUACAGCUCCCCCACCAAAGUUGAGGCCUUGCCCCCCACCCAGCUCUGUCCUCCUCCCUGCCCAGAAGAGGCUGCAGCCUUCCCCCUCCCCGCCUCCCCCACAACGGCCUCCUGGCCUUCUUUGUUCCAGAGACAGUUCUCUUGCACACUGUUCUUUGAAGCAGAGCUGGAAAGGGAAGGGUGGAUGGACCCAGGGGUGCAGGCUCCUGGUGCAGGGAGGGCCGGACGAUGCUUGGUGAGCGUACGAGAGAGCAGGUGAAUCC